GCCAUUGUGACAUAGUGGUUUGAGUGUUGAACUGUGACUCUGGAAACCAGGGUUCAAAUCCCUGCUCAGUCA